rnacentral:rRNA from 2 species
CGAACGCUGGCGGCGUGCCUAAUACAUGCAAGUCGAACGAACUCUGGUAUUGAUUGGUGCUUGCAUCAUGAUUUACAUUUGAGUGAGUGGCGAACUGGUGAGUAACACGUGGGAAACCUGCCCAGAAGCGGGGGAUAACACCUGGAAACAGAUGCUAAUACCGCAUAACAACUUGGACCGCAUGGUCCGAGUUUGAAAGAUGGCUUCGGCUAUCACUUUUGGAUGGUCCCGCGGCGUAUUAGCUAGAUGGUGGGGUAACGGCUCACCAUGGCAAUGAUACGUAGCCGACCUGAGAGGGUAAUCGGCCACAUUGGGACUGAGACACGGCCCAAACUCCUACGGGAGGCAGCAGUAGGGAAUCUUCCACAAUGGACGAAAGUCUGAUGGAGCAACGCCGCGUGAGUGAAGAAGGGUUUCGGCUCGUAAAACUCUGUUGUUAAAGAAGAACAUAUCUGAGAGUAACUGUUCAGGUAUUGACGGUAUUUAACCAGAAAGCCACGGCUAACUACGUGCCAGCAGCCGCGGUAAUACGUAGGUGGCAAGCGUUGUCCGGAUUUAUUGGGCGUAAAGCGAGCGCAGGCGGUUUUUUAAGUCUGAUGUGAAAGCCUUCGGCUCAACCGAAGAAGUGCAUCGGAAACUGGGAAACUUGAGUGCAGAAGAGGACAGUGGAACUCCAUGUGUAGCGGUGAAAUGCGUAGAUAUAUGGAAGAACACCAGUGGCGAAGGCGGCUGUCUGGUCUGUAACUGACGCUGAGGCUCGAAAGUAUGGGUAGCAAACAGGAUUAGAUACCCUGGUAGUCCAUACCGUAAACGAUGAAUGCUAAGUGUUGGAGGGUUUCCGCCCUUCAGUGCUGCAGCUAACGCAUUAAGCAUUCCGCCUGGGGAGUACGGCCGCAAGGCUGAAACUCAAAGGAAUUGACGGGGGCCCGCACAAGCGGUGGAGCAUGUGGUUUAAUUCGAAGCUACGCGAAGAACCUUACCAGGUCUUGACAUACUAUGCAAAUCUAAGAGAUUAGACGUUCCCUUCGGGGACAUGGAUACAGGUGGUGCAUGGUUGUCGUCAGCUCGUGUCGUGAGAUGUUGGGUUAAGUCCCGCAACGAGCGCAACCCUUAUUAUCAGUUGCCAGCAUUAAGUUGGGCACUCUGGUGAGACUGCCGGUGACAAACCGGAGGAAGGUGGGGAUGACGUCAAAUCAUCAUGCCCCUUAUGACCUGGGCUACACACGUGCUACAAUGGAUGGUACAACGAGUUGCGAACUCGCGAGAGUAAGCUAAUCUCUUAAAGCCAUUCUCAGUUCGGAUUGUAGGCUGCAACUCGCCUACAUGAAGUCGGAAUCGCUAGUAAUCGCGGAUCAGCAUGCCGCGGUGAAUACGUUCCCGGGCCUUGUACACACCGCCCGUCACACCAUGAGAGUUUGUAACACCCAAAGUCGGUGGGGUAACCUUUUAGGAACCAGCCGCCUAAGGUGGGACAGAUGAU